GUGUCUGUUCGCAGAAGCGCAGCAGCCACCGAGAGCAAGAGUAAACACUGAAAAUGCCAAGAUAUAGAUGCCUACUUAGGAUCCUCUCCCCCACACGUGGCAAAUGAUGCAAAACAUCAUCACUUUUAUGUGACUUUCACAGCCUUUUACACAGGAGACAUGAACUGAAGGGAGGAUUCCCUCCCUUUUCUUACAGCUCAUGGGAGUUGCCACAAGGGCUGAAAAUGGACUGUUUAUUUGGGGACAGAAUGGUGCAGGAUCAGCUGUCAUCUGGCACUCUAACCCAAGACACAAUUAGUUGAGCACAGCCAUAUCCACACAAUAUUGAUGGAAGCAAUAGUGCAGUAAUUCACAACUGUCUGAGGUGUGGCUUUCCAUGGGAAAGGCUUCUUGUGACACUCUGCAGACACCUGCCUAGAAUAUCCUCCUCAGAUACUGUUAGAAGACUCCUGUAUAAACCCACAGGAUUCCAUCAAUCCUUUGGGAUUUACACAACACAAAAGGUGAGGUGCACUGUCAGGAAAACUUCUCACAUCAUUUUGGCUGUCAAUCGGCAGCUAGAAAGGUGGAGGGAGGGACCACAUUUGUAACGUGUCACUCUGAAACGUGAAUCCAACUCUGGCUGGAUGUGAGAAGUGCUUGAAGAGGCUGCCUGGACAGAAAGCAGUUGAGAAACACUAAGGUUUUCUCAAAUGGUUUCUGAAAAAAAAAAGGGAGGAAAAAAAGCAUUUUCAAAUCUAUUUCACAAAGUAUCAGCACAUAACAUAAUUCCGUGUCUAAAUAGGAUCACAGGAAAAUUUCAGCACUGAUACCUCAGCGAAGCCUAUGCCAAUUAAAACACUGCUAACUUCAACUUGAUACUGAUUUAACUUAACUCCACAUCAAACACUCCUGGUGUUCACACAGGAGCCUUGACCUAUUUAGGACAUGCAUUUUUAAAUGACAUCUCACAUUUUACACCUGCAACUCCUAAUACAGACCUACAGGCAAGGCAAAGCAACCUGAAGGUCCCUUUACCAUCACUCUGUGCUAAAGGCUUUCUACCCUGACUUCAGCAAAUUGAGUCAAAUGAUGAAUUUCUAAGAUGUUUCUGGACUACUGCAGAAAUAUCCUUUUUUCUAGAAUGGUCUCUUGAAAAUAAAACCAAAUUGAAGCACACCUACUAACUGGAUGUUUUUAGCUGCAUAUUACACUACUUAGAAGGAGCCAAAUGUUCCCCUGUCACUCACCACACUGCUAAAGAUGGAAGUUGCUCUUUUUUUAUUGUGGUUUGUAAAAAGAGGGGUUAUCUUUUAUCAGGCCAGAUGCC